rnacentral:lncRNA from 1 species
CUCAGCCAUUUGUCCCACCAAGAGAAGUGCCAGCCUGAGCAAGAAGCCAGCACACAGAAGAGGCAGCCCUUAUGAACAAAACAGACCUGGCGCUGGGAUCAUGAAGAGGGUGUAAAUUCCAGAUCAAGCUGUGGAGUUUUCAGGCUGUGAGCCAAUGCAAUCCCUUGGUUGGCUUAAGCUGGCUUGCGUUUGAUUUUCUGUCGCGUGGAAAUCCUUAACCAGUAUGAACACUGUUGGUGCCGCUCCCAGUAACAUCUGAUUGUUGCUUUGGUUUCUCAAUCAAUAGCAUAAAACCCAUUUGACAAAAAUGACUAAUCCUCCAAAAUUCAUCAGCAUUUCUGGAGCACAGCCAUCUCUGAUGCCCACCUGACUUUCCAGACAGGACCCUCGUUUUUCUAUUCCUGAGGUCUGGCUUCUUCGGUUUUCUGCUCUGGUAUAGCUCAGUCUAGGUCAUUUCUCCUCCGGGUUCCACCAGUGACAAGUGACAGCUGCACUCUGCUGAGGAAACAAGCAGGAGCACGGGCAGCCAGCUACAGAUGCCAGCAUCAGCCUGACGAGAAAAGCAGUGCCAAGAAAGGUUGGCUCCAAGACCUGGUGAUACCUUCAGAUGUCAUCAAUAACUUGCUCUGUC